AUUGAACGCUGGCGGCAUGCCUUACACAUGCAAGUCGAACGGCAGCGCGGACUUCGGUCUGGCGGCGAGUGGCGAACGGGUGAGUAAUGCAUCGGAACGUACCUUUCAGUGGGGGAUAACGUAGCGAAAGUUACGCUAAUACCGCAUAUUCUGUGAGCAGGAAAGCAGGGGAUCGCAAGACCUUGCGCUGAUUGAGCGGCCGAUGUCAGAUUAGCUAGUUGGUGAGGUAAGGGCUCACCAAGGCGACGAUCUGUAGCGGGUCUGAGAGGAUGAUCCGCCACACUGGGACUGAGACACGCCCCAGACUCCUACGGGAGGCAGCAGUGGGGAAUUUUGGACAAUGGGGGCAACCCUGAUCCAGCCAUGCCGCGUGAGUGAAGAAGGCCUUCGGGUUGUAAAGCUCUUUCGGCCGGGAAGAAAUCGCAUGGGUUAAUACCCUGUGUGGAUGACGGUACCGGAAUAAGAAGCACCGGCUAACUACGUGCCAGCCGCCGCCGUAACAC
rnacentral:rRNA from 1 species